rnacentral:lncRNA from 1 species
GGGUAAAAGCAGGAGGUAAAGAAAUAGUCAAAUCAUCUACUGCCUGAGAGCACCGGGGAGAGACAAUGAUCGGAAAAUAAAUCCAGGCCUUUGUGCCAGCAGGGGCAACCCCCUCUGGGUCCCCUCCCAUUGUAUGUGAGCUCUGUUUUCAUUCUAUUAAAUCUUGCAACUGCACAUUCUUCUGGUCCGUGUUUCUGCCGGCUCAAACUGAGCUUUCGCUCUCCAUCCACCAUGGCUGAACGCCACAGUCGCAGACCUGCCGUUGACUUUCAUCCCUCUGGAUUUGGCAGGGUGUCCACUGAGCUUCUGAUUCAGCGAGGUGCUCAUUGCUGCUCCCAAUCAGGCUAGAGGCUCGCCAUUGUUCCUGCACCGGGAAGUGCCCGGGUUCAUCCUAAUUAGGCUGAACACUAGUCUCUGGGUUCCAUGGUUCUCUUCCGUGACCCACAGCUUCUAAUAGAGCUAUAACACUUACCGCAUGGCCCAAGGUUCCAUUCCUUGGAAUCCCUGAGGCCAAGAACCCCACGUCAGAGAACAAAAGGCUUGCUGCCAUCUUGGGAGCAGCCGGCCCCAUCUUGGGAGUGGCCCACCACCAUCUUGGGAGCUCUAAGAACAAAGACCUGCUGGUAACACUAUCUCUGGCCACCUAUCUCUGGCCUAUCUAUCUCUGGUUCCUAUCUCUGGCCAUGGCUUGAGCCAUUUGGGUGCAGUGAACAGGAAACUGUAAAGAGUGACAGCCCUGCUUCUACAAAAUGGAUGCCAAGGUUACACCUCCUCCCUCCUUAAAUAGCACUUAGUGUAAUUGAUGCCAAGUUAAUCCCUGUGCUGCCAAGAGAAGUGUCCAUGGGGUAGGAACCGCAUGCUGUUUUACCUGUGCUUAAAGAGGAAAGUGUCACGCGUCUCUGAAGAAACAAUGUUGACUGAAAAAUAGCGCCAAGUCUCAAACAAGAUCUUUGUGAAAAAUAAAGCAUGAAGCACAAAAUGAGAGAAUGACUAAAACUGAGGCUUAGUUAUGCAAGUUGUCUCCAGUCACACAACUGAAGACUUUUUUAAAUAGCCAGAAGUGGUGAAUUUGACAGUAAAGGACAAGAAGAGAAAGUUCUCAGACCUGAACAGGAAAAAAUGGUGCCUGGACACUACAAACAAUCUUCAUGUGCACUGAUCGGACAAUAAGUGAAUGGGUAAAUUUCUUUUCUCUAUCCCAUAUUCUGAAUCUUCAUCAUUAAAUCACUGUAACUUUUGUAAUAUAAUAUUUAGUAAAAUUGUGUAUGCAGACAAGGACCCAACACACCCUAGAAAAGGCCCUGCAUUAGGGAACUGGGCUAUGGAAAGCAUUAUGUAUCUGUUUCUGCACUGUGUGGCUAUAUAAACUCUGACAAGAUUUUGUGACAUUGGCUCAAUACAUAAGGAACUUAAAUCUAAUGGCAGAUGAGUACAUGCUCUUUCUGUCAAUCCACAGACCACCUGAAAUGUUGCAUAAACUAGCGUCUCUUUUUAUUUAAUCAAUUUUAUUUUUUAGUGGUUUUAAGUUCACAGAAAAGUUCAGUGGAAAGUACAAAUAAUUCCCACAUAUUCCCUGCCCCCAUGCCACAACCUCCACAACUAUGAACAUACUUGCACCACAGUGGCACAUUUGUUACCAGUGAUGCACCUUCUCACACAUCAUCACCUAAAGUUUAUAGUUUACAUUAGAGUUCACUCUUGGUGUUGUAACAAACGGAUUUUAACAAAUGGAUCAUGACACGAUCUACUCUUGUAGUAUCACACAGAAUAAUUUAACUGGCCUGAAAAUCUCCUGUGUUCCACCAUCCUCCCUAGCCACCCAACCUAUAGCAAUAAUUUAUCUUUUUCCAGUCUCUAUUGUUUUGCCUUUUCCACAGUAUCAUAUAGUGGAAAUCAUUCAGUAUGUAGCUUUUUCAGAUCUUUCACUCUGUAAUAUGCAUUUAACGUUACCCCAUGUCUUUUCAUGACUUGAUGGUUUAUUCCUUUUUAGCACUAAAUAAUAUUCCAUUGUCUGAAUAUAUUAGUUCAUUUAUUCAUUUGCAUAUUGGUUACUUCCAAGUUUUGGAAAUUAUGAAUUGAGCUGCUAUAAACAUUCAUGUGCAAGUUUUGUAUGAACAUAAGUUUUCACAUCAUAUGGGUAAAUAUUAAGGAGUGUGAUUUGCUAGGUUAUACGGUAAGAGUAUGCUUAAUUGUUGUUUUUAUGUAAAGAUGGAGUCUUGCUCUGUCACCCAGGCUGGAGAGUAGUGGUACAAUCAUGGUUCACUGCAGUCUCAAACGCCUGAGUUCAAGCGAUCCUCCUCCCUCAGCCUCCCAAGUAGCUGGGACUACAGGCACACACCACCAUGCCUGGCUAAUUUUUUCAAUUUAUUUUUUGUAGAGACAGGGUAUUGCUAUAUUUCCCAGGCUCGUCUCAAAUUCCUGGUGUCAAAUGAUCCUCCCACAGUGUUGGGAUUACAGGUGUGAGGUAUAUGCUUAGUUUUUUAAGAAACUGCCAAACUGUCUCCCAAAGCAUCUAUACCAUUUUGUAUUCCCACCAGUAAUGAAUGAGAGUCUCAGCUGCUCCAUGUCCUCAACAGGAUUUGGUAUUUCUUUAAAAAAGUAAUUAACAAAAUAUCUGUAUUUGAAAAGUGUCUUAAAUAAUACUGUACAUAUGUUUGGUGACUAAUAUAUAUGUACUGAAUAAAACUAUAAUACUCUAACUGAUGGAUACACAGCAUAUAUUAUUCUUGUAUCUUUUCCUAGAAAGCCUUGGGCUACUCUAAAUCUGUAAUACGUAUUUCAACUUCUCUACUUACAUGUACUAUAUUAUAGCAAUUUCUAUUGAGUUAUAAUCCAUAUUCACUCUCCUGAUUUGCUAAAGUCACAGAGGCUUUCAUCCCUAGUUUCUAAAGUGCUAAUACUAGUUUUUUCAGGCUUGUUUUUAACUUUUAUUUUAAGUUCAGGGGUACAUAUGCAGGUUUGUUACAUAGGUUAAUUGUGUAUCAUGGGGAUCUAAUGUACAGAUUAUUUCAUCACCCAGGUAAUAGGCAUAGUAUCCAAUAGGUAGGAGUUGAUUUUUUGUAUAACGUGUAAGGAAGAGGUCCAGUUUCGAUUUUCUGUAUAUGGCUAGCCAUUUACCCUAGCAUCAUUUAUUGAAUACAGAGUCCUUUCCUCAUUGCUUGUUUUUUGUUGACUUUGUCAAAGAUCAGAUGAUGUUAGCUGUACAGCUUUAUUUUUGGGCUCUCCAUUCUGUCGUAUUGGUCUAUUAUCUGUUUUUGUACCAGUACUAUGCUGUUUUGGUUACUGUAGCCUUGUAAUAACAGUUUGAAGUUGGGUUAACAUGAUGCCUCUAGCUUUGUUCUUUUUGUUUAUGAUUGCCUUGGCUAUUCAAACUCUUUUUUGGUUCCAUAUGAAUUUUAAAAUAGUUUUUCCUAAUUCUAAUUCCUUCCCAAUUCAAGCAGUUUCCCAGCUUCCCUGUCACAUCCUUGGGUAAUUUCCCACUGCCACUCACCGCAUACUAGACAUAAUUAAAUAUUUUAAUGUGCACUCACUGUUUUUUUUAUGGAGUACAGAGUAUA